rnacentral:lncRNA from 13 species
AUGCUACAGAGACAUAAUAUUCAAAUGACCUCCAGAGCCCUCAGACGAACUACCCGAGAUCUCUUCAGGGCACAGAGAACCUGCUUCCCUGGAGCCUGCUUCCCCAUGCCAAGAAUACUUGGCUCAUCCUAGCACUAGCUGCCUUCCCAGCAGCCGAGGCCAAGGCCCCACUCAGGAGGUCCGCCCAGAGGAAAGGUGUGAUGAAUGGACUACAGCUGGACCUGGCCAGGCUGGCCUACAUGAAAAAGCAGAGGUCCACAUUCACGGAAUUGGCUCAUUUAGUAGAUUGUGUGUCUGUGUGUGCAUAUAUGUGUUUGCGUGUGAGGUCCUCUAUGUGUGUAUGUGUAUGUGAGUGAUGCAUAACACAUUGUAAACUCACCAGAUAGGACCUAUUAGAGGUGAAUCUAAUGGAACCGUGCUGAUUAACAAUC